GUCUUUUUGUUUAAAUAUAAAGUCUAGCCUGCCCAUUGAUAAUUUGAAUGGCCGCGGUAUUUUGNCCGUGCUAAGGUAGCAUAAUCAUUAGUUUUUUAAUUGAAAGCUGGAAUGAAGGGUUGGAUGAAAAAAUAACUGUCUCUGUUAAAAUAUAAUAGAAUUUUAUUUUUAAGUUAAAAAGCUUAAAUAUCAUUAAAAGACGAGAAGACCCUAUAGAGUUUUAUAAUUAAUAAUAUUAUUUUUUUAGAAUUUAUUUUUUAAUAGAAAUUAAUUAUUUGAUUGGGGUGAUUAAAAAAUUUAAUAAACUUUUUUUUUAUUUUGACAUUAAUUUAUGAAUUAUUGAUCCAAUAGUUUUGAUUAUAAGAUAAAAUUACCUUAGGGAUAACAGCGUAAUUUUAUUAGAGAGUUCUUAUCGAUAAUAAAGAUUGCGACCUCGAUGUUGGAUUAAAAUUUAUAAUUGGUGUAGAAGCUAUAUUAUUAAGUCUGUUCGACUUUUAAAAUUU
rnacentral:rRNA from 1 species